GCUGGGUGUGGUGGUGCAUGCCUGUAAUCCCAGCUACUUGGGAGGCUGAGGCAGGAGAAUCGCUUGAACCCGGGAGGCACAGGUUGCAGUGAGCUGAGAUGGCGCCACUGCACACUAGCCUGGGUGACAGAGCAAGACUCUGUCUCAA
rnacentral:sRNA from 1 species